AAAGGUUCAAUACUUCCAAGGACUGUAAUUUUCCAAACUGUUGUGGGAUACCUCCAAUAAGUGAAUUCUGACUCAAAUCUAGGCUUUGAAGAGCAUUAAUGUAGCUUAUUGAAGAUGGAAUGCUCUCUUCGAGGUUGUUCUUGCUCAAAUUCAAGUUGAAUAACUUGACGCAAUUUCCAAGAUCAUCAGGAAUAGGCCCACUAAAAUUGUUUGAUGCCAAGUCAAGUUGUUCGAGUUUUGAAAGAAGUCCUAUCUCUGAUGGAAUUUUGCCAGAAAAUUGGUUACCGCUUAGAAAAAGGCGGCUCAUCAUUGUCAACUUUCCCAGUUCUUUCGGAAUCUCACUAUUUAGAUGAUUGGAAGAGAGAUCAAGUUCUUGUAAUUGGGUUGCAUGUCCCAAAUCGAAUGGAAUCUUUCCAGAAAUGUUAUUAUUGGAGAUCUGUAGGCUUGUUAGAUUAUGGCAUUGUCCCCAAUUUGGAGAAAGUUCUCCGAAAAUAUUGUUGUUGCUUAAUGAAAUAAAAUCCAAAUUUGGAUAUAUACCAAAGGAUUCUGAUAUAUUUCCCGUUAAGUGGUUCCCUUCAAGCCUAACUCUGUAUAAGCUUGUACAGUUUCUCAAACUUGAUGGAAUCAAACCGGUCAAAUUAUUGUUGAUAGCUGCAAGAUGAUUUAGCAAUCCCCCUAGGCACACAUUCUCAGGUAAUGAACCACUAAGAUGAUUGUAUGAUAAGUCUAAUAUUCUUGAACGAUUAAGAUUGUUCAUAGUUUGAGGAAUAAGGCCUGAUAAAAUAUUUUCAAAAACCGUAAGUAUCGACAACUUGUUUAAGUUUCCCAUGGAAGUUGGGAUAGAACCAGAAAGCCCAUUAGAAUAAAGCCCAAGAUUGUCCAAGUUAGUCAAGUUUGCUAUGGAAUCAGGGAUGACACCAGUGAGAUUAUUCUCCGACAACUGCAAGUCGAAAAGAGAUUUGAGCAUUCCUAUCUCACUGGGGAUAGAACCAGAAAGCCCAUUAGAAUCAAGCUCAAGAUUGUCCAAGUUAGUCAAGUUUCCUAUGGAAACAGGGAUGACACCAGUGAGAUUGUUUUUCAACAACUGCAACACGGAAAGCGAUUUGAGCAUUCCUAUCUCACUGGGGAUAGAACCAGAGAGAUAAUUACCAUACAGAUAGAGAUAUAUCAUGUUACUUAAGUUUCCUAUACAUGUUGGGAUAGGACCAGUUAGGUAAUUGUCUGAAAUAUCAAGGUGCCAAAGCGAUCUAAUCAUUCCGAUCUCUUUAGGUAUGGAACCAUUGAGCCUAUUGCCAACGAGGUAAAUUUGGGAUAAAUUCUGCAAGUCUCCAAUUGAAAUAGGUAUUGUACCAGUGAGAAGGUUUUGGUGAAGAAAAAGCACAGAAAGUGAAGUCAACCUUCCUAUAUCAGAAGGAAUACUUCCAAAGAUAUUAUUUUGUGCCAAGUCCAGAUGGUGAAGCUUGGUGAGGUUCAAAAUUUCUCGUGGAAUGGAACCAGUGAUUGAAUUGUUCUGUAAGGAGAUCGUAUAAAGACUUUUCAAUAAGCCAAUUUCUAAAGGGAUAUUUCCAGAGAAAUUAUUGUACGACAAGUCAAGGAAGUUGAGGUUGGAAAGGUUUCCGAUGUGUGAAGGAAUAGACCCAUACAAUGAGUUGUUUCGAAGUUGAAGCCAAAUCAAAUUGGGGAAGUGAAGGAAGUUGAGAUUGUGAAGUGUACCUCUCAAUUUCAAUUCAUAUCCUCUCAGGGUCAUAUUGGUGAUGCUUCCAGCACUGUUGCAAGUGAUUCCAGUCCAAUUGCAAUGGUUGCUUCCACCCCACAAAGAAGAUAGCAAAGUUUGGCUGUUGCUGUGGAGGCUAGCUUUCCAUUCUAGAAGAGCUUCAGCUUCCCUGGAGGGUAUGGUUUUAGAAGAGAAAGCAUGGGAAGAUGCAAAGAAGAGGAAGAAGAUGAUGAGUUCGAAUGGUAUUGAGGAAGAAGCCAUGGAUUUUUGGUUGAUAAUUGUGAUCAAAGACAUUGCCUAUUUAUAGAACAAUGUCGGAGCUGUUUCAGUGUAUAUUAAUUUCUGCAUUUUGAUUACGCGAUGUCUCUACGUUAAACAAAUUGUUAUCUGAAUUUAUUUUUAAGGAUUUCUUUUAUAAUUAUUUUGAAGUGUUUUUUUAACAAGACAUCAACUUAUUAUUACACUAAAGACGGUGAGUAAAGUACAAACUUUCAUUUGUUAUAUAUGAAAGCGGUAAGUAUAAUAAAAUCAUAUUUGUACACUAAAAAUGAAAUUAGUUAGUUGGUGACUCAUUUAAUAUUUAGAUACUAUUUUAUAUUUUGACAUUAUAAUUAUUUAAUUUUAUUUUUAUUAAAUUAUUUAGAUUUAGGGUUAAUUUAAAAGAAUGUGUAAAUGUUGAUAACUAAAUAUGUAGUUAUACUAAGUGAAAAAGGUCACUUCAUUAUUUUUGUUAACAAUUUAACCAGUGAGUAACUAAAAUAGAAAUGACUGAUAAUGUUAAUGAUGAAAUUGAAACUUUUUAUAGUUUAAUAAUAAAAAACACACUAAUAAUAUUGAGUGACUAAUUGUAUAGUUAAUUAUCCUUAAAAACUGAUUGGGUCAGGGCUAGAUUUUAGCUUUGAAUAUUGAUGCUCGAAUAUGACAUCUUAUAUAAAACUUAGACAUUUUAUAAUGAGUUGGAUUCCAAUAUAAAUGGAUGAAUAUUUAACAUCGAUGUAGAUAUCAAUUUUAAAAACUACCAUAACUAAUUGAUAAUAAAAAAUAAUUAAAUAAUUGAAUCAUAUUUUGUAAUUUUUUUAUAAAUAGAUGAGGAAAUAAACUUAAUAAUUACUAUUUAAGCGGUGUACUUGAAUAUGACAAGUCUAAUAUGACAAGUCUUCGUCGUUAGUGUUGACUCUAGGUCUUAGUCGUUUUAGUCAGAAAUUUAAUCUCUUUGGUAAUCGUAUAAUGAACUAUAUUAAGUUACUUUAUAAGUGAGUAAAAUAAUUAAAUAUUAAUAAAUUUAUUUAAUUAUAAUUAAAAUUAAUUAACUUUUUUAUUUUCUCCGCUCCUUCCUUGUAUAUAUCCAUACCAAAAACUUUCUAAACUUAGUUUUGAGAUUUUUUUUCUCAAUUUAAAAUUAUUUCAUUGAUUUUUAAUCUUCAAAUGCUAGAAUCAUCAGUUUAUACAUCAAUAAUUUGAAAUGAUUGCUGAGCAAAUAAAAAAUUAUCUAGUUUUUUUAAUCUAUAAAUUUAUUUAAAUUAAGACAUUGUUUUUAAAAAAUACCGUAAAAAGUAUUUUGGAAAAUUAACGUAAAAAAAUGUUUUUGAAAAUUUUGAUGUAAAAUUUAAGUAUUUAUUUUUAUUGUUAAAAAUAUUUUUUAAAAAAUAAAAUGUUGAUGAUAUUGCAAAGUAAAAUUAUGCAUUUAAGUGUUUAGUUGAUUAAGGAGUUUUAUUUUAAAAGAGGAAACAUUAAUUAAUAUAUUUUAGUAAUUUGUUGCAUAAAAAUGAUUAAAUUGUCAUUUUUAUUAAUUAUUUAUAUAUAAAUGAUUAAACUACUAAUUUCCUAUGAUAUAUAAGAAGGAUUACCUAUUUUAAGCAGUUAAACUAAUUUCUUGAUUUUUAUAAAAUAGAAUGAUCAAAUUCUUACAUAAUUUUUUAAAUUUUAUAAAGUAAAAGAAUGAAACUGUAACACUCAAAAUAUAUAAAGUUUGAUGAAAUAAAUAACCAAUAAAUGAUUUAGUUUUGAUGAUUAUAUAGUUAAUGCAUUCCUUAGAAAUUCUAGGUUCUAUUUACCCUUUUUCAUUUUUUUUCUUUUUAUUUUCAACAAAUUAAGAUGGGAGUCACUCUAAAAUAAAUAAUUUCCACAUUAAUAGGAUGAAUGUUUGGAGAUUGAACGCCAUUUUUUUUUUGGUACAAAGAGAAGGAUUAAACCAUAACUUAAACUAUAUGUGGCCAAGUCAUUCGGCGGUUGCACGAAAAAGUACCUACCAACUGAUCUUGAGAAUGCCAUUAAUGCUAUCAGUUGCCUUACCCUCUCUAAAGGUAUGAGUAAAAUUAACCAUCCAACGAAGUUGCAACAAGUUCUUAAUAGUACGUGUCACAACUGAGUAAUGUUGAUCAACUACAUUUUCUUGAAUCGCUUGAAUAGCUUCAGUGCUGUCAAACUUGAGAAUUAUUCGUUUCAAUCCAAGGUUCCAAGUGAGUUGAAGACCUUCUAAAGCUCCCCAAAGUUAAGCAUCGAUAAUUGAGCAGCAACCAAUAUUCCUUGAGAAACCAAAAAUUCACAUCCCAUGCUGAUUGAGGGUCAGACCACUUGCAACAGCAUUGCUGGACACCUAGCAGACUACACCAUCAGUAUUUACUUUAUGCCACUCAUCAUCUGGUGGAACCCAUCUGAUCAGUUUACGAGUUUUAGCUUUAGAAUGCUUAGAGGCCCCCAUCGAUCCAAAGUUUGAACAAAGAUAACUUUCCCUUAUACAAUAACUCUUUUCCAAAACAUCUUCAUUCUCAACAAAGUCUGCAUUAAACACAUAGUUGUUCCUCCUUAUCCAAAGCUACCAGCAAAUAACACCAAAAAGGACUUGCUAAUCAAGAGGGAUCACAUGCAAAAUGCUUAGAAUCAAAGAUAUUAAUUUCCAACCAACUUCCAAAACUGAUAGAAAAGAAUUCAUCUCUCUUUUUCGGCCUGAUUAUCGAGCUCCAAGUUGCUACAUCUGAUGUGCAUAAACGCAACAUAGAGUCAAUACGUUAUAGACGGUGAUGAAGGUUUUAUUAUUUUAUUUUUUCAUUAUUUAUAAAAGUGAUUUUGAAUUUUUAAAAUUUUCUUCGAAUCGUAGAAUGAUGUAUUGGUAUAAAUUGGUUCUUUGUAUUUGUUUGAUGGUAGAUUGAAACAACGACAACAACAACUAGAGGGGAAGAGAGAAAGAAGAGAAGAACAAAGAAAUUGAAACAAAAUGAUUUUUUUUAAAAUUGACGGUUAACUCACAUUUAGUGAUAAAAUUGGGUUGUUUUUAUAAAAUUUUAUGUGGUGUACUUAAAUUUAUUUUAUAUACUAAAUUUGAUGUGUAAUAAUAUUGAAAUUAUUUUAUAUUCUAUAAAAUUUAAAUGAACAGAGCAAAUUUAAGUGGUGUACUUAAAUUUUAUCGUAUUAAUUUGAAUAUUAUUAAUAACAGUUGAUUCACGUCGUUAGUGUAGAUCGUUUUCAUUUUCCUUUUUCCUUUAUUGCUUUAUUAUCUCAUAAUAAAUAGAAUCGUCAUUCUAUACAUCAAUAAUUUGGAUUUUUAAAUAGUAGAAAUGAUUGCUAACCAAAUAAUUUUUUUUUAAUUUUAUGGUUAGUUUUUUAAUCUAUAAAUUUAUUUAAAAUAAUAUAUUCUUUUGGAAAGUGAUUUUGAAAAUUAAGGUUAAAAAAAUAUAUUUUUUAAAAAUUUUAAUUUAAGAUUUAAGUAUUUAUUAUUAUUGUCAAAAAUUGCUUUAAGAAAUAAAACCUUCAUUUUAACAUGAAUUUGCCAAGUAAAAUUAUACAUUCUAAGUGUUUAUUUAAUUGAGUUUUAUUUGAAGACUGUCUUUUUGACACGAGUUUUUGUCUGUCCUUUUGACACGAGGUUUUUCUGUUUUUGUUCUUGUACUAUCAAAGUUUUUCGUUCAUUUGUCCUUCUUUUUGAAGACUUGGAUCCUGGUUUUGAGUAAUGGAAGACGGCUUGGCAAACUUGAAUUUACUUGACGACGAGGAGGAGGCAUUUCAUGAAGAGGAAUCGGUAGUGGUUCGGAGCUAUCAAUUUAGUUUGGUUGGUCGAUGUUUGACAGAUAGUGUCGUUCACUUUCCGUCUUUGCGCAACACUAUGGCUGAUCUCUGGCACCCCAUUGGUGGAAUCUGUAUAUCAAAUUUGAGGGAUAAAAGGAUCCUGUUUCAAUUUUUUCAUGAAGUGGAUGUGCAACGGGUACUUACUGGUGCACCAUGGUUUUUCAACAAGCAUCUGAUUAUUCUACAUGAACUUAAGCAGGGGGAAAAUCCGUUAGUAGUCCUACUAUUUUCAUCAGAGUUUUGGGUCCAAGUCCACGAUUUGCCGCCAGGGUUGAUGACGGAAUUAAUGGCAAAGCAGUUCGGGAAUUUUUUGGGAUAGUUCCUUGAGUAUGACACAACCGGGGAUUACUAAAUUCAUGCGCAUUCGUGUCAGAUUGGACGUGUCCCUACCAUUAAAAAGAAGGAAGAAAAUACAAAUCAGUAAAGAAAGAAUUGUAUAUGCUCAAUUUCAGUAUGAGAAAUUGAGUCUAUUCUAUUUUAUUUGUGGUAAAUUGGGUCAUGGUGAGAGUUUUUGUCCAUUUCGUACUCGUAUUGAUCCAUCUAAAAUAGUUUUUGGUUGGGAUAUUUCGUUAAGGGCGGUGGGGCGUCAUCGGAAUACCAUGGCAAGUAAGUGGCUUAGGGAACCGGACGGUUCAGAAUGCAGCCAGUUAAUUAUGGAAAGAAAUUUCAUGAGCCAAAAUUCAGGAGAAAACCACGAUUCUGAGAGAUAUUCUAGGGGGAAAUGGAGAUUUUAUCAUGCAAUUUCAAUCCUGCUAAUUUGGAAUCUGGCCAAAAGAAUACUUUAAUGGGGGAUCGUAAUUGGCGUAAUUUGGGCGGCAAAGAUUUUAAUGGGAUUGAAAAUGACAGUGGGCCCAUGGAUUUGGUGUUGAUUGAGGAGAAUGAUCCGUUAGUUUCCCUAGAAGGAAAGAAAAGACAGGUUAGUGGGGGCACUCAUUAACGAAUCGGGGAAUAAUCUGGUAGGAGACUCACUUGAUUUAACUGCUAGCUCCGCUGGGCAGAGCAGCCGAUUGCAAUAAAAAUUCUAAGUUAGAACGUUUAUGGGUUGGGGAGACCACAGACUGUUAGUAGGCUCAAGAAUAAGUUGAGAGCCAUUAAUCCCCGAAUUUUGUUUCUUAUGGAGACAAAAUUAAGUUAAAAAAAAUGGAGUUGGUGCGGCUGAAAUGUGGUUUUGAUAAUGGUAUUGAUAUUGGCCCUGUUGGUUCAAAAGGUGGCCUAUCACUUGGUUGGAAAGGGAAUUCUUUGAUUCGGCUUAAGAAUUAUUCUUCAUAUCACAUUGACGUCGAGGUUCAUGAUAAUGAAUGUGGGAAACUUUGCCGUUUAAUGGGGUUUUAUGGAAAUCCCGAUGAAAGGCAAAGAAAUAAGUCUUGAGAGUUACUGCAGCAGCUCGGUCAUGAUCAAAUGAUCCAUUGGUUGGUGAUCAGUGAUUUCAAUAAGAUAAUGAAUUCUUUUGAAAAAAAAGGGUGGAUGGCUUCUAUCAGAACGUCAAAUGUCUAAUUUUCGUGAUGUGUUGGAUGGGUGUGGACUUAAUGAUUUAGGGUUCGUUGGUAGGUGGUUCACAUAGGAGCGCGGUCGUUUCUUGUCGACUAAUAUUCGGAAACGACUUGACAAAGUGGUAGCAUCUGCGGAAUGAUUAUCUCUUUUUUCAUGUUAUCAUUUAGAGCAUUUUAGUCAUUCAUUUUCGGAUCAUUGCCUGAUUCUUUCGGACACGAGCGGACGAGGCACAGAUGUUCAAUACUCCAGUCUUAAGGUUUUUCGGUUUGGGGCUCAAUGGUACUUAGAUCCUGACUUUGAGGAUAAGGUGAAAUCGAGUUGGGGGGAGAUUACUGGAAAUGUCCCAGUCAAACUUAUAAAAUUGGGGCAGCAUCUUUAUCAUUGGAGUCGAAAAAGAAGAAGAGAACAAAGCGUAUAUCGUAGGGAUCUUGAAGAACGACUGUAAGAUCUUUAUCGUAGGAAUCCUUCUGAUGACGUUUUAGCUGAAUUAACUGAGGUCCAAGUUAGCUUGAAUUUGGAGAUUGAUAAGGAGGAACUAUUUUGGAACGACGAGCCCGUGCAAAUUAGUUGCGAAAUGGGGAUCGAAACACUAGCUACUUUCAUAAAGUUAUGGUCCAGCGAUUCCAUCGUAAUAAGAUUUUGGGCUUGGAAAGGGAGGAUGGAAGUUGGGUUUCAACGAAUAAAGAAAUGCUUCAACUUUCAUUGACUUAUUUUAAGAGGUUAUUUGCUGCUACUAAUACAGGUGAUGAUGAUCAUUUACUGAGACUAGUGGAGAAGCGGAUUACCAACAGUAUGAAUGAUAAAUUACUUAAACCAUUUACUGAGGAGGAGAUCACAUGUGCUGUCAAGUCUAUGUCCUCAUUAAAGGCUCCAGGUAUUGAUGGUUUUCCAGCAAUUUUUUACCAAAGGUAUUGGCAUAUUGUUGGUCCUGAAGUUUCUAAUUAUUUUUUAUCAAUUUUGAAAGGUGAAAUCGAAAUAGGGGAAAUCAAUAAAACUCAUAUUUUUUGCUCCCUAAAAUUGAAAAGCCAAAAAACCUCACCCAAUUCAGUCCUAUAAGUUUGUGUAAUAUGAUUUAUAAAAUCAUUGCGAAAGUGUUGGUGGAUCGCAUGAGUGACUUAUUGAGGGUGUGUAUCAAUGAAUCUCAAUGAGCUUUUAUUCUGGGAAGACACAUUUCGGAUAAUGUCUUAAUAGCUUAUGAAGUUUUACAUUCUCUCAAAAUGAAAAAAAGAAGUCGCAAAGAGAAUUUUCGCUUAAACUUGAUAUGAGUAAAGCAUAUGAUAGUGUCGAAUGGGACUUUUUAGCUGGAAUGAUGAGUCGCAUGGGUUUUCAUACCGAUUGGAUUGUUCUCAUUAUGAGGUGUAUGUGUAUGUAUGUUCUGUCUCAUAUACGGUAGGUCUUAAUGGGGAAAUGAGUGCCUGGUUUGCUCCGUCGAGGGGAUUGAGAUAAGGGGAUCCUCUUAGCCCUUAUCUUUUUCUAAUUUGUGCAGAGGGCUUUUCAACGCUUCUUCAUGAAGUUAAGUAGAAAGACCUUAUGCGGGGUGCGCCUAUCGGAAGAGGAAAAUUCUCGGUUAAUCAUCUAUUUUUUACAGAUGAUUGUAUUCUAUUCGGGGAUGCGUCGGAAUAGGGAGCUAAUACGGUGAGAAGUGUUAUUACUGAAUAUGAACAAGCUUCGGGUCGAAGGGUGAAUAUUGAUAAAUCACUUAUCUAUUUUGGUGCUAAUGUGGACUUUAAUGUUAGAGAGUUGGUGACGGGCAUACUAGGUGUUCGGGUAGCUACUAAUCUAGAAAAGUAUUUAGGAUUGCCUAAGAUGGUAGAAAGAAAGAAGAAGUGGGCUUUUGCUCAUUUCGUGGACCGGUUUAGAAAAAGAAUAGAUGGUUGGGGUUUGCGUUAUCUUUCGAUGGGAGGUAAAGAAGUUUUUAUCAAAUUCGUUCUUCAAGCCAUUCCCGUUUAUGUCAUGCAGUGUUUUGCCUUACCAAAGAUGUUGUGUAGUAAAUUGGAGGGCCUUUUAAAUAAGUUUUGGUGGCCUAACAACAAAACAACAAAAAGAGUCCAUUGGAGUAAUUGGAAUGCUUUGUGCAAACCUAAGUGGGCUGACGGUAUGGGUUUCAUGGAUUUGUUCUUGUUUAAUCGGGCCUUAUUAGCAAUACAAAUAUGGCAUAUUUUUACUCAGCCUAAUUGCCUUUUAUCGAAGGUAUUAAAAGCACGUUAUUUUCCUUUCUCAGAUAUAUUCUCAGCUAAAGUUGGGUCUUACCCUUCGUUUACCUGGAGAAGCUUAUGCAGCGCUCGAGAGUUGAUUGCUGAUGAGCUUGUUUAGCGUAUUGGUAAUGGGAAUAGUGUGAAUAUCUAGAACAGUCAUUGGUUUCCUGGGCAUGGAAAUAACCGGUUAGCAGGUCCAAAACAUUAAUACUUCUUGGACUAAUGUCAAUCAAUUAAUUGAUCCUGUGUCUUAUACUUGGAGAAAGGAGGUUUUGUCCAGCCUGUUUGAUGAUGACCAAAUGAACUGUAUUCUCUCUAUUCCACUGGCUAGCCACAGAAUGCAUGAUAUGUUGGUCUGGAAGCAUGAGGCUACUGGGGAUUACUCCGUCUAGAGUGGAUAUCGUGUUUUGAUUACAGAGUAGUUACAGUUUAAUGAUUCCAACUCUAUUACUACUGCUAAAUACAAAGAGUUCUAUCAACUGCUUUGGGAUCUACAUAUUCCAGCUAAAAUUAAAAUACAUGUGUGGCGCUUGUUUAACAACUAUGUGCCUCAUUAUACCAAUCUUGUUCAACGUCGGUUGUUUGUUGAGGUUGACUGCCCCCUCUGUAAUGUUGCUCUGGAGGAUUCUGAUCAUCUUAUGUGGACUUGUGGCGUUCUUUAACAGCUUUGGGCCUUUCUUAAUAUCAGGCUCAUUAUGAAUGAGAAUACCUCAAGUUGCAAAGACAGAUUAGUUAAUACUUUUCUUGCGGCUGAUAGCAAUACUAGACAGGUCCUAAUUAUUUCUAUUUGGGCGUUAUGGCACAGAAGAAACAAAUUAGUUCAUGAAGGGCUAAAAUUUCAUCUGCAGGAUCUAGUUGGCUUUAUUCGAGGAUAUUGUCAAGAGAUUUCAUUGUGUCAAAUGAAAUUGAUAGUCUCCUCUAAUACUACAAUACAUCAUCUUUGGCGUCCUCUUAAAACUGGUAUGAUUAAAUUAAAUUUUGAUGCUGCAUUCCAAAAAGAGUCUAAAAUCACUUGUGCAGCUGUAUUAGCAAGAAACAAUGACGGUUAUUGUAUGGGGGCGUACACUUACCCUUUGGAUGACGUGGUAGAUGCCUUCGUUGCUGAAGCUCGGGCAUGCGAAAGGGCAAUGAUUUUUGCGGCUGAAAUGGGUUUCACGAGGAUUAUGUUGGAAGGAGAUUCCCUUACCAUAAUAAAAAAACUCGAUUCAGACGGAGAAGAUAGAUCUUUACUGAGACCCAUUAUCAACAGUAUUCAUGUUAUAGAGAGACAGUUUGAGAAUGUUUCUUACCUUUUUGUACCGAGGGCAGUCAAUAGGGCGGCUCAUGCUUUAGUUAUGGAAGGCCGGCAUCAUAUAACCCCUUGUUUUUGGGUUCAUGAUCUGCCCAAAUCGGCAAAGAUGGUGCUAGCUGCGGAUUGGAAGGCUUGGGUCUAACGAACUUAAUAGGUUUCUGUAUUCUUUGAAGAUGGAGAAGGUUCUGUCGAAUCUCCAUGGAAGGUUUUCAAAGUUUUUCUCCCUUGUUCGUUCCAAUUUUGUUUCUGCUUUUUGGGGAGGACGGUGCGGCUGAUAUUCCUGGGGGCAUUUAGUUUUGGUAAAAGGUGUUAAUGCGGAGGUGGUUUUGCUUUUUCUGUGUGCUUUGCUAUUGUUUUGGAUUGCUUGUUUUCUAUUGCUGUCUUUUCUUGUUGCCUUUUGUAUUGCUGGUUUUUUUUGUCUUUUCAUUUUUUGCUGAUUUUAUUGUUAUCUGCCACCUAGAACUUUGGCCUUUAUUUAAUGAAUAUCAGUUCUUUGUUGUAAAAUAAAAAACUGAGGAGUUUUAUUUUAAAAAUGGACACAUUAAUUAUUAUAUUUUAGUAAUUUUAUAUUGAACUACUAAUUUUCUAUUAUAUAAAAAGAUUAAUGAUUUGAAGUUGUUAAACUAAUUUCUUAGAUUUUAUAAAAUAGAACGAUCAGAUCCUUACAUAAUUUCUCUAAGUUUUAUAAAGUACAAGAAUGAAACUUAAAAUUAAUAUUUUAAUCUCCACUUUUAUAAAUAACCCACAAUGUUAAGAUGCAAACUCGGCAUUUGAAAGGUCUCGGCUUGGUUUAAUAUUUUCAUUAUAAGUAUUUUAGAUUUAUUAUUAUAAAUUACUGUUAUGUGGAACUAUAUUGUAUUAUUUGAACUGUGGUAUGAGAUUUAAGUUUUAGGUUUAUUUGGUAUGUAUGGCAUUUAAUGGUGAAAAAUCUGUCCACACUCACCAUACCAAAUUGUUGUAUUACGACCCAAAUUUUAAGUUAUUGAAAAAGUGAAUUUUUGGGUCUUUGAUUUUGAAAAUUAGAUUCGUAAAUAUUUAUUAGAAAUAUUUAUGAAGUUGAGUGAGAGGUUAAUUAGAUUUUAAUUAAGUAAAUUUAGCUUAAUUAAGGUUAAUUAGGUAUAAGGAUUAAAUUGAAUAAAGUGUGAAAGUUUAAUUAUAAACUAUAGAAAAGUCAAGGGACUAAAUUAGCAAAUAAGCCUUAUGUGACAAGUGUGUGGUAAGUAUAAAUACAUGUGUAUUUUUUUAAUUAGUACAAAUGUAUGUAUAUGUAUGUAUUUACUUAUUAUAUAUGUAAAUAAUAAUAAAGUAAAUUAUAUUAUAUUAUAUAAUUAUAACAUAUUAAAUAAAUAAAAGAAAUAAAACAUAAAAAGAAAGAAAUAAGGCACGAAUAGCAGGGAAAGAAAGAAGGAAAAAGGGAAAGAAAAAGAAAAGGGAAAAUUAGGGUUUUAAGAUUUCAAGUUUGAUUGGCAAGUCAAUUUGAUCCAUUUUCUUGUAAUUUUAAUGUUUUUGGAAUCCUAAGACAAAGUUCUAUAUGAAUUAUGUUGAAAAUUUUAAAAGUUAAUGAAUUUUUAGAUGUUGAUUAAGUUGUAUAAAUUGAAGAAUUAUGGGUUUAAUUGAUAGGAAUUCAAGUUAGAAGUGGGAGAAGGAUUGAAUUGUAAAAGAAGAAAUAAAUUUUAACAUAGUAGGGAUUAAAUUGAAGGGAUUUCAGAAUUUAUGUUUUAAGAUGAAAUAUAGAAGUUGAAACUUGUUUAAAGUAAGUAUUAAAUGAAAUAUAAGAUUUAUUUGUAGAGAAAGAAUAGUUAUGGUAAUAGGACUAAAAUGGAAUUUAUGUGAAAGUUAUAUGGAAAAUAAAAAAAAUGUGUUAUUAAAUAACAUAUAUUGAUAAUUUUAAAUGUUAACUUUUAUGUAGCUAACGUAGCACUGGAAACGUCAUCAAAAAAGGGAAAGGAGAAAGUGAACGAGGAUAUCGAGUAAACUCGAUAAUUACAGUUUGUAUUUCUAUAAACUAUGCUUAAUAAUUUAAUAAAUGUAAUUUCCAUUUUUAAUUAGUCAGUAUGAAUGAUGAAUGAUGUGAUGGGAAUUGUUACUGUUUCUGUAUUAAAAUGAAAUGAUUUGAAUACCCUAUUAACAGUGUUGAGCUAGUCGGAUAUAGUUGACAUGCCAUAGGAUUGGAAGUGUACAAGGAUAUUUCAACUGUGUGUCGAUGAGACACUAUAAGUGUCGACUACUGUUACUGUUCCAGAUUCGUUCCGAAGAGGUACUCCGUACCUGACUGUUACUGUUACCCUUACAGUGUAUUCUGGCUCAGCCGAUGAAACACUGUAUGAUAUCCCGGUGUGUGGGUUGGAUCCGUGUAUCCUUCCAGGUCCGAGUUAUGUUAAUAGGGGUAAAUGACAGUACUGAAAACUAACUGCUAUCGAUUAUAUGAUUGUGACUGAAUGUUGAUUGUUAGUACAUAUAAAUACCAUACUAAUGUAUGAUUGUUGAAAGGUAUAGAAUGAUAUGAAAUGUGUAAAGAAUUGUUUAACAACAUUUAAGGGCUAAGAGAUAAAGGUGAGUAAACGAACCAUUAAGAUCAUCAAAGUAAAGAAUUAGGAUUUAAAUGUAUGAAUGAUUUAAUAUUGCUUUAUGUGCUAGUUUAUAGAAAUACCACUGAGUGUAAACUCAGCGUACGGUUUUGUUUCUGUGCGUAGGAUUAGGUACUACAGAGCUAAGGACUCAGCAUCCAAGCCAAUCCUGGACAUCAAAGUGGUGAAGUACCUUUCUUUUUGAUAAAAUGGCAUGUACCUAGGCUAUUAAGUUGUUGUCUAAUAUAUAAUAGUAAAUGGAAUUAAAGAUGUUGAACUAUGGUAUGGAGUAAGUAUGUUUGAAGUUAAAUCUAAGUAUGUUUCAUUGAUAUGGUUAUCUAGUGUGUUUGAAAUAAAUUGUGGCACCAUUGAGGAUACAUUGGUUGGAUGAUUUAUUGUUGAAAGUUAAGAAUAUUGCUACCUUAAAGCUUGAGUUUUGCAGGGUUGGUAAGUUUGUGAUUAAAGGCUUAUUUUGAGUCUAUACGGCCUGGCACACGGGCGUGUGAUCAGACCGUGUGAGACACAUGGCUAGCACACGGGCAUGUUGUUAGGCCGUGUGUCCCCUGCACCUAAAAUGCUACAAACAGAUUGCCACAUGGGCUGAGUACACGGGCGUGUAACUUGGCCGUGUGAAAUUAGUUAGCCAUGAGUAAAUUGACAGAGAGUUACACGGGCUUGUCAAAAAGGGCACAUGGGCGUAUUCCCUGGACCACACGGGCAUGUGGAACUAUUCAAAGGGAGAAACUUUGAAAUUUCACGAAAAAUUUUCUAAGCUUCUGAUCGAGCCCCGCUUUGUUUUAAAUGUACUUUUUAAGUACUGAGGGCCCAUUAAAGGUAUAUUAAGAUGUACAAUAUUAUAUUUAUUCCUAUUUUACAUGUAAAUGCAAUGUAAUGACCGGUAAUACUCUGUAGUCCUGUUCCGACAACGGGAUUGGGUUAGGAAAUGUUACAAUUAGUGGUAUCAGAGUUAACUGGGUUUAGUCGAUUAUAGGAUUAAGUCGAGUACUGAAAAGAGUUUAGAGGUACAUGCCAUUUUUAUGUUAACUUUGAGUCGGGAUUGGAUGCUGAUUUAUAUAUAUUACUUAAUUAACUUUGUUUUAUAGUGUAUAAAAGAUGUCUGAUGAAAGUAUCGAAGGUACCGAUCAAGAAAUGCACAGUAGAGAUUAAUCACGUGAUGAAAAUGAGUCCGAAUCUGUAACUCCAAGUGUAAACCCGGUGGGUAACCAACCAUCGAAUACUGGAAGGGAUAAUACAGAAUAUUGAGAAUGAUUGCCGAAGCUCUUUAAAGAGCGGUAGGAAGUAUGCCUACUACUACCUCUACUCCUACUACCCGACGAGCCUCUAUUAAAGAACUGCGAAAAUACGGAGCUACAGAAUUUCUAGGAUAAAAGGGAACUGAUUCAACAACAGCUGAAAAUUGGUUAGAGACUACUAAGAGAAUUUUGAAGCAAUUAGAAUGCACGCCACAGGAAAUUUUAGUAUGUGUUGUUUUUUUAUUACAAGAAGAAGCUUACAUAUGGUGGGAAUCAGUGAUUCAAAAUGUACCGGGAGAACAAGUAAAUUAGGAAUUCUUUCAACGGGAAUUUCAGAAGAAGUAUUUGGGAGAGACAUACAUGGAAGACCAGAAACAGGAGUUCUUAAUGUUGAAGCAGAGAAACAUGUCUAUAGUGGAUUAUGAACGAGAAUUUCUGAGAUUGAGUAGAUAUGCAACUGAAUUUAUACCAAUAGAAGCUGACAGAUGCAAGCGAAGACUGCGAGAUGAAUUCCAACUGCAAUUGACGCCUCUACAGAUUACAAAGUUUGCAGACUUAAUAGAAAGAGCUAAAAUGAUUGAACAAGUGCUGGGAAAGAGUAAAAAAUCUGAAACUGCCCGUUCAACUAGAAAACAUCCUGGAACUGUUAGUUCAAGUUCGUAAUACAAACGAUCAAGGGAAUCUCGGGGUAGUGGAAGAUUCAAUUCAAGAUCAGAAAGAGUAGAUAGAAGUCGAAAGAGACAAAUUACUGUAUCUACUGGUAGUGACAGAAGGCCGCCUCAGAACACUGAAAUUCCAAAAUGUGAAUAUUGUGGAAACAGACAUAAAGAAGAAUAUAAAAAGAUAAUUUGGGGUUAUUUUUGUUAUGGAUCCACUGAUCAUUUUGUAAAGGAUUGCCCGAAGAUUAAUAAAGUAGUACCAACGAUUUCUCAAAAAUCUGAAUAUGCAUUUAGAGGCCGAGGUUCAGGCUGAAGUAGUUUAGUUGCUAGAGGUGGAACUAGGAAGGCUAGUGAAAGUGCUAUACAGCAAUCUGAAGUAAGAGCUCCAGCCUGAGCAUAUGUUGUAAGAACUCGAGAUGAGAGAGAUGCUCAUGAUGUAGUGAUAGGUAUAUUUUUACUGUAUUCAAUACUUGUUUAUGCUUUAAUAGAUCCAGGGUCAUCUCAUUCUUAUGUUAAUAUAAAACUAGUUGAAAUGGGAAAUUUAAAAUCUGAACUGUCUAGAGUAACAAUAGAGGUGUCUAGUCCUCUGGGGCAAACUAUGUUAGUGAAUAAAAUAUGCCGAAGAUACUCGUUGAUGAUUCAGGAUAGAAUAUUUCCGGUUGACUUGUUAAUCAUGCCAUUCGGUGAUUUUGAUAUUAUACUGGGUAUGGACUGGUUAUCGAAACAUGGAGUGACAUUGGAUUGUUAUAAAAAGAGGUUUACUAUCCAGAGUUAAGAUGGUGAUCAGAUCGAAGUAAGUGGUAUCUGGACUGAUGGUUUAGCUCAAAUCAUUUCUGUAAUUAAAGCUAGUAAGCUUCUUUAUCAGGGAUGUGCAGCUUUCUUAGCCUAUGUUAUCAAUUUAGAUUCAGUUGAAAGUCAGUGUAGCAAGAUUCAAACGGUAUGUGAGUUUCCUAAUGUAUUUCUUAAAGAAUUACCUGGAUUACCCCCUGAUCGAGAGGUAGAGUUUGUGAUUGAAGUAUACCCGAGUACAGAUCCAGUGUCGAUACCUUCAUAUUGUAUGUCACCUACUUAGCUCGAAAAGAAACAAUCUUUGUAUGAAAAUCAAUUCUUUUAAAAAUAAAAUUUUGGAACCCACAGUUCACAGCCUGAGUUUUACAACCUGGCUCUAAUACCACUCAAUGUAACACCCUAAACUCAAUCUAGAUGUUGUUGCUAAAUUUGGGAGUGUUACAAUAAAGGGUUUUGAAAUAAACUGUAUUAAAUUAAAACCUCGUUUAGUUUAUCGCAAAAAAGAAGUCCUUAUUUUUAUAAAACGUAUCGAUUAUCAUAUUUAUUACUAAAACUGUCGAUAGUUGUUCUUUCAGAAAAACUUAAUUUGCAGCGAAAAUUUUGUGUGUCAUUACAUGUCAAAAAACUAACUUUGUGUUUUCAAAUGUUUAUUUGUGAGAAACCAUUGUUUGCGAAAAAAAAACGUUUGUUGUCCGUCGUAGAAAUCAUAAUCAAACCAAAACAACAACAAAACCCAAAGAAAUCAAAAAGUCCGGAGAGUCCUAAAAUAUACAAACCCUCAAGAAAAACUAGCAUUUAAAAUAUAACCGAUAGUUAAAAGAUCGUUUUUAUACUAGUAGUCACCGCUGAGCCUCCGUCGCACCAACCCGUCUAUGUUUGAGGAUUACCUAAACAAAACAGACAAACAAAUGUGAGUUUUUGUAAACUCAGUGUGUAACCCAACAGAGAUAGACAUUCAAAUAUACUUAGAAUUUUCAUAUACAGAAUAGAUACAGAUACGGACAUAAGUCCAUAACAAAAUCAGAUCAUGUCAGAAUUAGAUAAUUAGAACAGAUAUAUGCAAAAUCAUACCCCCAUCCUCUAAACAUCAUCUCCGACCAUCCCAUCACACCAUGAGGGGUAUAAAACACCCACCUAUCCCUACACACCACAUAGUGUCCGCACGACACUUAUUAGAAUAAUUUGCAGCUGUGCUGCCAGAAUAAGGGCGAAAUAUCGCCUCACAAAACACUUCUUCCAAUAAACAGAUCCCACCCCCAUAUACAAAUACAAAAUACAGAUAUCAGAUAACAGAUAACAGAUAUACAGAAAUAACAUGACUCUCAUGCUCGUGUACAGGUAUCAUACAUGCUUAAACAGAACAAUCAGACAUACAUAUCAGUUUUACUAACUCAAAUCAGUCUAUCAGAAUAACAGAUCUCAUGCAUUAGGGUUUGGUUAGCCCUUAUUGACCUUACGGAGGUCUCACAGUCGAUUGGAACGACUCAUGCGACCCUAGAGAAAAUUUCAAAAUUUUGAGCCCACAUGCUAAUAAAGCAUACCCAUGUGAGCUCACAAGCCCGUGUGGCCCACACAUCAUUCUCGGCCCAAAGCACGAUCAAGACGCUCAAAAGUCCCCGCUCUAUGCCAAGUAAAUGAAGGACCCUUGAAGCCUAGGUCAUGAAGCCCAUUAGAAUCGACAAAAUCUCUGAAGUAAAAGCACCUUGUCCCAGUAGACCUCUCACCUUUUUUCUCGUCCGAAGACAAAAUAGCAUUAUACACCAGUAAUUAACCUAGGGAUCUAAGCUGAAAGGAUAGUAGACUUCAGUUGCUUCCAAAGCAUUCUUCGUUUCCUUAUUUCACUUUAAGUUCUACCAUCAAGAUGAUUUUGUGAGUAUUCACUACGUUUAUAUGGACUUAAUUAUUUCCUUUUAACUUUUUUAUAUAAUAGUUCCAUAAAAGCUGAUAAUUGAAGCUAAGAUUCAAAAUCAGUAAUGGUGCAAAUAUUUUUUUUUUUUGAAGUGUUUGCAUCAUUUAAUUUCAUGCAUGGAUGAGCUUUCAACUACAGAAGCAUUGAUCCACAAUAUUAGAUUUUAUUAUGUUUUUGAGUUGUUCGGCUUUUGGUUGUCAUUUAUUUAUUUUUUUCAUUUUCUUUCAAUGAAAUGUUAUUUUAUACUUUCAUUUUAUAAAUGUUUAAAAUGUCUAUAAUUAUUCAUAGUCUCUCCUUAACUCCUAAAUAGGAGGAUAAUAUGCUAUAGCACACUUGAACUCACGUCCUCCUGUAUUAACAAUAAUACUGAUACCAAUCAGUCUAAGACUCAAUCAACAUAUAUUUUUUUGUAAUUGAUUGUAUGAAAAAACAAUAAAAAUAAUUUUUUUAUAAAUCAUAUAAAUAAUAAAAUUUAUUUAAAAUGGUAGAUUGAAUAAUAUAAUGACCAGUAAAAAUCAUAUUAGUCAGUUUAACAAUUUCUUCACAACUCAUAUUUUUAUAAAUAAGAUUUAUUUUUAAGUUGAGAAAAAGAAAAGAAUAUUGUAAUUUUGUCUUUUAGUAUAUUGUAAUAUUGAUAAAAAGCAAUUCGGAAAAGUCUUGGUAGCCACGAAAGAUCAUAUGAUCUUAAAUAUCUUACAUUAAUUUAAAUAUUUGUAAAUCUAAGGUAUGUUUUUAUUUGAGAAAUUAUUUGGUACGUAGUGUUAGGAGAUUGAUAAGUGUUUUAUAAAAGUAUAGUAAAAUAUUAAAAAAUAUACAUGCUAAUUUUUUAAAGUUAUUUCUAAAAUAAAAAAAUGUAUUGUCAAUAUAUCAAAUAUUAAAAUAUUUUUGUUUACAGAAAAUAUUUAGUACACUACAAAUGAAAUUAUUAAACUUCACAAAUAAUAUGCAAGUGCUUAUAGAAUUAUAAUAAAAUAUUAAAAAUUAAUUAUAUGAAAAAAACAUACGUGACAAAAUUUUAAAGUUAUAGACUAAAAAUAGUACAAUAUCAAUAUAUUUAAUAUUUGGGAUAAAGGGCUAUUUAAUGUUAAAUAUUUACAAUACUAUUUAUGUAUUAUAUUAUCUAAACAAGACUUGAUCAUGUUGAAGGCUUGCCUAAAUGUGAGAGAAUUUUGGCAAAAAUAUAAGCUCAAAAAAUAGGUUUGGACAAAAAAAUAAGGUCUGUUUAAAAAACGGGUAGGGCAUUGGGUAAGAUAUUUUUUGCCUGGGCCCGGCCCGGCUUAAAUUCACUAAAACACAAAUUUUUUUUCGUUUUUGAAUGUUAUUUUUUUGUUGUUUUCUCUUUAUUUUGCUACUAUUUUACUAUUAUGUUGCUACUAUUUUAUUGUUAUUGUUUGGAUAUUUUAAAAAACUUAUUUUAUUGUUAAUUUUGUUAUUAUUUUAAAGGCAUUUGUUAAUUUUGUUAUUAUUUUAGAGGAAUUUGUUUGUUAAGUUGUAUUUAUCGUAGUGUUAUUUAAGUCUACAUAUUUUUAAAAUUUAUUUUUAAUUUGUUAGGAAAUAUUUAUGUUGAUGCUUUUAGUAUUUUUGAUAUAUUAUAUAUAUUUAAAAAUUAUAUAAAAAUAAUAUAAAAAAUUAAUACGGCAGGCAGGUCGGAUCCAGAUUUUAGCAUUUUUAUCUUAGUUGGGCUUGAAUAAAAUUUUAAGCCCAUUUUUGGGCCUAACUGGGUUCAGGCCUAGUAAAUUAGGGCUUAAAUUUAAGUUGAGCCCGACCUAAACUCGGCCCAUCUUGACCCAUGAAUACUUCUAAUCCACACAAAAUUUAUAUGGAAAAAAAUCAAUGUUUAAACAGAAAAAUAUGAAUUAAGAAUUAAAAUACUUCCAUGCAAUCCAAUUCCUAUUAGAUUAUCUUCACAUGCUGAUGUCAGUUUUAGUCAUAGUAGUUCUGAACUGGAAAAAGUUAAGAAAUGCUUUAAUAUCAUUAUUUAUCUCAAAAAGAUAACAAUUUUAUUUAAGGUAGAAAUAAAAUAAUAUAAAAUAAUAUUUGAUGCAUUGUUAGUGUAUAAAUUUUAUGCAUUAUCAAUAAAUAAUAACAUGAUACAUCACCAUUAAAUUAAACAAAAUAUAUGAAGGACUUGUAAGUGUUUAGAGUUUUGAAUUUAGGGUUUUAACAUUUAUUUAUAAUUAAUUAUUAUUUAAUUAUAUUUAAACUAAUCCUUCACUAUUUUUUUUAUUUUAUUUAAUGAUUAAAUAUCAUGUUGUUACACACAUACAGUAUAUCAAAUAUUUUCUCAAAUAUUAUACAUUAAAGUGAAAUGGGAUACAAACAUUAACUAAACAAACGCAAUAGAAUUGGAUAUAAAACUUAACCAAAUUGGUACAUAUAGCUACUCAUAGGAGAGAUCAACAUACUCGAAUUAAAAGCCCGAAACUCGUAAUUUUUAUCAUAAUCCCGUUCAAAAAUUCUGUUCGCGCAGUCUUUACUAAAACAGUCAUAACUUGAGCUCCCGAACUCAAAAUCGAGUGAUUAAAAAUGCGUUUCAAAGUUAAGAGAUAGAUCUUCAAACGCUAUGAGACAUCUCAACCUAGAAAUGCCAAGAUCCCAUCCAAAAAGUCGUUGCAAGUUUGCUAAUUUCCCAAGCCUGAAAAUUGACAAUUUUGAUGAUUGGAAUCUAAUAAAUUUCACCCCAUCUGGGCAUGUAUCAUCAUCAUGAACUACCUCUUGCCAUGUUGGAAUGCUCACAGCUUCAUGUAUAUCUGCCGGAAGGACAGAACUGAUAGAAGCCACAUGUGUUUUCGGUUUGAAAAUCCCAACCUUGCUCCUUAUGACCAUUGGAUGAGCAUUACCAACAACAGGUUGAGGGGACAAGGAUGAAUUGGAGGCCUGUGGUGUACUAGGCAAAGAAUCACUGUUACGAGUAGGGGAACCCGCAUCAGCAUACCUCAAACUUUCAGUAUGACAAAAACUGACAUCAACUUGUGAAGAUAAUCUAUCAUCAGUAUUGGAGACCACUUGUACCACUAAGCUGGGGCUAGACACGGAACCAUAACUGGAAGAGUGGUAACUGAGGGGGGACCUUCUAAAGGUAUAGUGGAAGCAUGUAAUAUGAGCUUGGCAUAUGGAAAAACCUCUUCUUCAAAUUGCACAUGUCGAGAGACAUAAAUCCUCUCUUCCUGAUCCAAGCAUUUGUACCCUCAUCUAUUUGAAGCAUAUCCCAAACAAGUACAUGGAGUGGACAGGAACUAAAGUUUAUGUUGGUUAUACGUAUGAAGUAGUCGGUAACACAACUCCCAAACACCCGGGGUGGCCUAUAAUCUGGUGGAUGACCAAAAAGUUUCUUUGCUGGUGAAACUCCGUUCAAAACAGAUGUUGGAAGCAAAUUGAAGGGAUGGGUAGCAGUGGAGAAAGCGUUCAUCCAAAAUGAAAGUGUUAGUGAGGCUUGUGCUAAUAACACCAGGCUAGUUUUUAUAAUUUGUCGGUGACAUAAUUCUACGAGACCAUUUUGCUCAGACGUAUGUGAGCAAGACACACGAUGGAGAAUACCCGAAUGCUUGAGAUAGGCAUUGAAAGCUCGAAAUUCACCACUAUCAUUAGUUUUUAGCUACUUAAGUUUGAUCCGAAGCUGUAACUCUACUUGUGCCUUGAAAUCAAGAAACGUCUAGAAGGCAUCAGACUUACGCUUUACAAAAUACACCCAAAUGUGUCUGGAAUACGCAUCAGCGAAAGCAACAUAAUAUUGAUGACCAACUGAAUAACAAGGGGCAGGUCCCCAUAAAUCUGCAAAAACUAACUCUAAAGGAGCAGUAUACUGAGUCAGAGAAGAUGAAAAUGGUAGUUUAUGGCUCUUGCCUAACAUACACGUAUUGCACAAAGGACUAUUCUUAUUUCUAGAAAUAGAAACAGUACAAGAAACAAGAACUUGAUUGACAAUAGCAGCAGAUGGGUGUUCUAAUCGCUGAUGCCAUCGAUCAAAACCCGUGAGAGGAUUAGAUGAAUAUGACAAACCAGCAGCAGAUUGAACAGUAGUCAAAGCUGAAACAGAAGCAGGGGAGAUGCCAUCAAACGAAUGAACAACAGAGAAUUGGCACAAGCCAUUGACCUCAACCUCGUGAAGUUGAACCUAAUCCGUCUUUGUAGUUCCAAUAGGGUCGGAAGCGUGUAAAUGAUUGUACUAAAAAAUCACACAAAGUUCAAUUCCUAGGGAAGGGAGGUGGAUCACAAGGAUCUCUUAAAUACCAAGUCUUUCUUUAGUCAGAAUAUCCCUUCUAUAGUAAUUUAAUAGCACAAUUAAAUACUACUAUUAUACCCUCAAAUAUUGAAAGAAAAAUAGGACAAAAAAAGAACACAAGAGUUUUAACGAGGUUCGGUAAAUUAUACCUACGUCUUCGGGCACUAACACUAGAUGAUAACUUUACUAUCUCGAAAAUAUUACAAACAAAUAGAAUUCCUUAAGAAUUCUCAAAUGGGAGAAGAGAGAAAACUAAGAGAGAAAGAUUGGCUGGGAUGAAUUGAAAUGAGAAAUGAGAAGGCCUAUUUAUAGUUGAGGUUCAAGGACCAAACAAUAAAUAGCCCAUUAUCUCAAGGACCAAAAACAAAUUAUCCUAUGCCACUUUUUCAAAGUCAACUUUAGGGUGCGAAACUUGCACAACUUGGAUUGUUUUCCAUUAAAAUUGUCUGCCAUUAAUCAUAAUGUUAACAAUCUCCACCUUGAAGAUUUGAUUAGGAUAAUCACAUCUUCACACACUUCCUUUAACUCCCCAAAUUUGAUAAAGCUAUCUUUUGUAGUGCCUCCAAAUGCGCUAUCGAGCGCCAUACACCUAAAGGUGCUCAAAUUCUCAGGAUGUUAAUCAAGUUCAAACAAUGAUUAAACUUGAUUGUUGUUACCACAUUGGUCAUCAUAUCUGCGGGAUUAUCUACUGUCGGAAUCUUUUGAAGUAGAAUUUUUCCUUUUUCAAAGACUUCCCGCACAAAGUGAUAUCUUAAGUCGAUAUGCUUGGUUCUUGAAUGAUAGACUUGAUUUUUCGCUAAAUGAAUAGCGCUCUGACUGUCACAAUAUAGACUAAUGUGACUUUGAACAACUCCCAAGUCUUUCAACAAUCCAUUAAGCCAAAUAGCCUCCUUAACAGCUUCUGUAACUGCCAUAUAUUCUGCCUCUGUAGUAGACACAGCUACUGUAGUCUGUAAGGUAGACUUCCAACUCACUGGGGCUUUCGCAAGAGUAAACAGAUACCCCGUAGUUGAACGACGUUUAUCUAAAUCACCAGCAAAGUCGGAAUCAACAUAUCCAACUACAAACUGGCCAAGUGCUUCAUCCUUCUCAAAAAUUAAACCAACAUCUACGGUUUUUCGAAGAUACCGUAGAAUCCAUUUCACAGCUUGCCAAUGUCCUUUUCCAGGAUCAUGCAUAUACCUGCUCACAACUCCAACAGCUUGUGAAAUGUCAGGCCGCGUACAUACCAUCGCAUACAUCAAACUCCCAACUGCAUUAGCAUAUGGGACUUUUGCCAUAUAUUCUCUUUCUUCUUUAGUCUUCGGAGAUAAUUGAGCACUAAGUUUCAAAUGAGAAGCAAGUGGGGUACUUACAUGUUUUGUAUUUUCAUUUACACCAAAACAUUGUAAUACCUUUUUCAAAUAUUGCUUCUGAUUCAAACAAAGAUUGCCUCUCUAUCUAUCUCUACUUAUCUCCAUACCGAGAAUCUUCUUGGCCUCACCUAGAUCUUUCAUCUCGAACUCUUGAUUCAACUGAGCCUUCAGCUUAUCUAUCUCUUUUUGGCUCUUCGAAGCGAUUAACAUAUCAUCAACAUACAAGAGUAGAUAAAUGAAAGAUCCGUCAUGCAGCUUCUGCAAAUAUACACAAUUGUCAUAUUUGCUUCUUGUGUACUUCUGCCUUCUCAUAAAGCUAUCAAAUCGCUUGUACCACUGCCUCGGGGAUUGCUUCAAUCCAUAUAGCGAUUUGUUCAGCUUACAAACCCAAUUUCUACCACCAGUAUCUGUGUAUCCUUCGGGCUGAGUUAUAUAGAUCUCAUCUUCUAACUCACCAUGCAAGAAAGCCGUCUUAACAUCAAGUUGAGCUAGCUCCAAAUUCAACUGUGCUACCAAGGCCAACAAAAUUCUAAUGGAGGAAUGCUUCACAACAGGGGAAAAUACAUCAUUGUAGUCAAUUCCCUCCUUCUGAGCGUAGCCUUUAGCUACCAAUCUUGCCAUGUAGCGAAUAUCCUUCUUGCUAGGAGAUCCAUCUUUCUUUGCGAAUACCCACUUGCAUCCGAUUGCCCUUUUACCUUUCGGUAAUUACGCCAACUCCCAAGUAUUGUUCUUCCGAAGAGACUGCAUUUCUUCAUCCAAGGAGCUUUUCUAUUUAUCACUUUCUAAGCUUUGCAUUGCUUCAUCCCGGUUAGGGGACAUAUGAUAGGUACAACCCGAAUCUAAAAUCCACUUAUCUGAAUGGAACGACGAUGAUGAUGCAACCAGUGAUAGUUCAGAGUCACUGGUAUCAUGCUUUACAACACAAGCAUCUACAGCAGCUUUUCCCUUAUUCUUCAGUUUUGGACAAUUUUUCUUCCAGUGGCCUUUCUCAUGACAAAAGGCACAUUCAUCUUUCCCGAGUCUGAACUUUGACUUUGAUCUCCCUUUCUGAGUUUUCUUCCGAGUGUAUGAACGACCUCGGACUACUAAAGCUUCUGUAUCUCUGAUUGAGUUUUUCUGUUUGUCCUUCUUUCUCUGUUCAUAACUGUAUAAGGCCGCAUAGACUUCGCUCAGAGAUAUAUCACUCCUGCCAUGAAGUAGAGUAGUUUCUAGGAACUCAAACUCCUCAGGAAGUGACCCCAACAGCAUCAAAGCCAAAUCUUCAUCUUUGAAUAUCUCAUCCAUAUUUAGCAAAUCAGUGACUAACCGAUUAAAUUUGGUGAUGUGAUCAUUCAUUGUGGUACUUGGGACGUAAGUGAAGCGAAACAGUCUUUUCUUCAAGUGGAGCUUAUUUUGACUGUUUUUCUUCAAGUGCCACCCACAACUUAUUUGCAGAAGUCUCCUUUGAAAAAGCAUACCUCUGCUCUCGAGAAAGGCAUGAUCGAAUUGUGCCACAUGCCAACCGAUUGAUCGCCUUCCAAUCUUUCUCCUGUACAUCAUCUGGUUUCUCUUCAUCAAUGGCAAUGUCUAGACCCUGCUGAAAAAGGGCAUCUAGAACCUCACUUUGCCACAUACCAAAAUGGCCCGUGCCAUCAAAGAUCUCCACGGCCAAUCUUGCAUUUGCAAUUGUCGGUCUUGUCCACAUGGACGAUGUUGAAGCUCCUACACCGACCGUUUUCUCCAUAAUCUUUCGAUAUACCUAAAGAAAUCUUUUCUGAUGUGGAAGAUCAGUUUAAACUGCAACCACAGAGCAUACUACGAUUAACCUUCGGCUCUUGAUACCACUUGUAGUUCCAAUAGGGUUGGAAGCGUGUAAAUGAUUGUACUAAAAAAACACACAAAGUUCAAUUCCCAGGGAAGAGAGGUGGAUCACAAGGAUCUCUUAAAUACCAAGUCUUUCCUUAGUCAGAAUAUCCCUUCUAUAGUAAUUUAAUAGCACAAUUAAAUACUACUAUUAUACCCUCAAAUAUUGAAAGAAAAAUAGGACAAAAAAGAACACAAGAGUUUUAACGAGGUUCGGUAAAUUAUACCUACGUCCUCGGGCACUAACACCAGAUGAUAACUUUACUAUCUCGAAAAUAUUACAAACAAAUAGAAUUCCUUAAGAAUUCUCAAAUGGGAGAAGAGAGAAAACUAAGAGAGAAAGAUUGGUUGGGAUGAAUUGAAAUGAGAAAUGAGAAGGCCUAUUUAUAGUUGAGGUUCAAGGACCAAACAAUAAAAAGCCCAUUAUCUCAAGGACCAAAAAAAAAAUUAUCCCAUGCCACUUUUUCAAAGUCAACUUUAGGGUGCUAAACUUGCACCACUUGAAUUGUUUGCCAUUAAAAUUGUCUGCCAUUAAUCAUAAUGUUAACAGUCUUCAUAUCCUUCACAAAACGAUUAUCCUUGGCAAUUUUAGAAACUAAUAGGAGAUUUUUGUGAAUAUCAAGGACAAAAAUAAGAUCAUUAAGUAGCAAUGAAGCAGACUUAGUGGUAAGAAUUGAGUCACCAAUUCGUGAAAUAGGAACUGAAGAACCAUUUCAAUAACCACAUUACCUGAACCCUAAUACGACUGUGAACUAUUGAACUGAGUAGAAUCGUGAGUGAUAUGAGUCGUGGCACCGCUAUCGGGGUACCAAACUGGACCAGCAACGACAGAUGGUGUAGCCUGAGUGGUACGGACAACAGCAGCACGACCAAUGUUCAUACCGAAAAUGUAACUAGCAGACCCUGAAGUGAAUUGUGGCCCAAAAUGAGAAGAAAGGCCAGAAUACGAGGGUGGAGCCAUUCCAGGAGUAAAACACAUGUAAGCGGACGCACCCGAUCCAGUCACAGAGGAAGGCGUAUGACCAGCACCAAAAUUAGAGUGAGCUCCUGAAUUGGACACCUCAUCACCAUCAACAUCAUACCGAUAAAAACACCGCCAGGCUACAUGACCUAGUUUACCAUAGAUCUGACAUUGCAUGUGACUGCCACCACCAAAUCGCCCACGACCACGACCACGAAAAGAACCAGUCAAUCAUUGAGACUGAAACACUUGUGGUGGCGGUUGACCAAAAUACGAUGGAAGAUCCGAUGAAGCAAUCUUGGUAGCUUCAGCAACAUUAGCAGAGAAUGACGAAAAUUGAACCUGUUGUCGAACCUCAGCAUCAAGAAAAGCCAUGGUAAUAUCAUGGAGAUCAAACGAAGCUCGACUGGUUGUAAUAAUCAACACAACAUGAUCAAACUUGGGAGGUAGGCCAUUGAGGAUGGUCGAUUGUUGUUCCUCCAGAGAUAUAUGGUGGCCACAACCAGCCAACAAAUCACACAAGUGCUUAAUCUCUGCAAGAUACACUGACAUGGAAAGAGUAUUUUUCUUAAAAUGAUGAAGCAAAGAUCGAGACCUCAUCACUUUGCUGGUGGUCUGAGUCCCAAGAACCCGGGUCAAAGCCUCCCACAGCUCAGCCACAGAGGAUGAGCUCCCAAUCAAUUGAUUGUGCAACGCCAGAUUCACGGUGGAAAGCAACCAUGCCAAAAGAGCCGAAUCUUGCUGCUCAUACUGUGCGAAUGCCGAAUUUUCAAGCAAAACACCAUCCUCCCCAAUAAUCAACUUUGGUAGAACAGCAACCGUUCCCUCAACAAAAGGCAGAAGACGAUGGGUCUUAAGCACAAGCAACAUAUGCUACUUCCAGGCCAGAAAGUUACUAUCAUCAAUGAGGGUAGUAACUUUCUGAGAAGCAAAUGCCAUUGGAGUAAACGACUGGACAGCCGCAAAACCAGGAGAGCCAACGCCAAACUCCAUUAAUGUAGUAACCGCCGAGCAUCUGAUUCCAUACUAGAAAAUCAGAGAAAUAUAGGAUUUAUACAUAUCAUGAUCAGUACAUCAGAUCUGUAUUUAUACACUAAUAUAACAAUUCAACAGAGGCUUAACAGAUUGUAACUAAUUCUAACCGAAUACUAAUUGCAACAGAAUCAUAACUAGCUAAGCUAACUAAUUCAACUGAUCUUCAUCUUCAAUAUUUUGCAACUACUCUGUAGUAGCUAAUAUGCCCCAACUGAAUUUAUUCAUAGGAAAUCUUGAAAUACAAAUUGGGUGAUUAACUAGAGCUUUAUUCAUAGCUAAUUCAUAACAAAUGCUUAUAGAUUUUCAAAACGAAGUUGAGAAAUAAGAGAUAAAUGGAAGAAAGAGAGAUAGAAAACAAAUACGCAUACCUUACCUAGCAAUAUGACCGAAAUUGUAGCACCGUACUUAGCCAUUGGAGACUACAUCUUCCAAUAGUUCCUCAAAAUUUAUGGUCGAGAAAGGGUUUGACAAUGGAAGGGAUUGACGACUAAGGGCUUCAACAACUUGUUGCAUGGUUGGCCAAAGUUGGGGAUUGCCAUUCAAGCAUGUAAUUGCUAUCUUCAUCCAAAAAAAUCCAAAAAUUGUCGUGUCUCUAUGAAAAAAAAAAUCAAAUUUUGAUACAUAUGCCAAAAGCUUUUGAUAUAUUUUCUGUGGAAUUGUUUCCAUCAAGCCUAACUUUGAAGAAUAGAAGGAAUGUUGGCAAACAAAGAAUAGAGAUGUUUCAAUCAGUCUCGUUAGUGUGAAAAAUGCAAGUUGUAAACAUUACGUCAACAUGUUUAUACUUUUACGAUGUUUUAAGGUUUUUACACCUCUUAUUAUUUCUCCAACUUUUAAAUUGGAGAAGAUUUCAUAUUUAAGUACACUUAAACUCACAUCUUUUUAAUUAUAAGAAUAAUAAUGAUGCUAAUUAAGACUAGACUCAAUCAAUUUUUUUAUAAUUAACUUUAAAAGUUUUUUUAAUAAAAUAUCAACUUAUAAUACAUUGUGUAUAAUAUAUCUGAUAAUAGAAAAUAAAUAUGAAAAAUGACUAAUUAUUAUAUAUGAAAGUGGGGAUUAUGAAAGCCAACUUUAGCAAUGAAUCCAAUUUUUCCCUUCUUAUCAAGUAAUGAGCGGUCUUUCAUACCCUAAGAGAUUACGUGAGCCAAGAAAUAAAGGUGGAGAAGAAUUGGAUGAAGGAGGUUCUUGGUUGAACAGAAAAGUGGAAGGAGAAAAAGAGUGAAUGAAAAAGUGAAAAAAAAUUUAAGAAUGCUUGGUAAGAAAGAAAAUUGGAGAGAUAAUAUUUUUUAUUUUAAUGUAUAAAAAUAAAUCACUUCGAAUUGGAAUUAUAAGAGAGAAAAUGAGAAAGAGAUAUAUGUUAGUACAAAAUUAUGUAUCUUUGAAAAUGUUCGUCAUUUUCUUUCUCUACCAAGUGAUGAGUAGAAAGAAAAUUACUUUUUCUUUCAACUUUUCCAACUUUCCUGGCACACCUGCAGUGAGUAUAUUUUUUGUUUUAUAAUUUUAUUUUUUUACUCUUUCAAUUUUUUCACUCUAAUUUUUUUCCCACCCUACCAAGCAAAACCUAAAUAAUGGAGGAUGUGUAAGGGCGAAGUUAGAAAUGCUUAUAUGGACCAUAUUUAUAUAAAAUAGACAUGUUCAAAGUAAACUUAGCUUGUAUGGGUCGGACAUACUUUUAACAAGUAUUUUUAAAUUUUAAAAUAAUCUUGACUGUCAAAAUUAACAUUAGAAAACUUAAAAUAAGUAAAUGCUCAGUUUGUAUUAGAUAUCGCAAUUAUUCAAGUUUUUUUUACCUAAUUAAUAUUUAGAUAGUAUUUUAUAUUUUGACAUUGCAAUUAUUUAACUUUAUUUUUACCGAACUAUUUAGAAUUAGGGUUAAUUUGAUAGAAUGUAUAAAUAUUAAGGACUAAAUAUGUUGUUAUACCAAGUGAAAAAAGGCCACUUCAUUAUUUUCCUUAACAACUUAAUCAGUGGGGCCUAAAAUAGAAAUGAAUAAUAACAUUAAUAAUGAAAUUGAAAAUUUUUAUAUUUCAAUAAUAAAAACAGAAACACACUAAUAGUAUUGUGUGACUAAUUGUAUAAUUUACAAGUAAAAGCAACAUAUUCUAAACUUAAAAAUUGGACAGAUGAAAUUAAAUUCAAGCUUUAAAUAUUGAUGCUCAAGCAUGACAUCUCCAUUUUAAGUGGACUUAAUUUUUUAUUUUUUUAUUUAAUGAAGUUGGACUAAGGGUUUCAAUAAAUAAUCUGCGCUUGAAUGGGUCAUCUUAUCGAUAAACUUUUAAUAAAAUAAUACAAAUUGUUAUUUAAUUCCAAGAUUAAAAUUUACAUGCUUAAAAAUAUUUGUCGGAGGAAAAUUUCUUUUGUAAUUUGUAAUGAAGAAAAAUUAGUGUGGUGUAUUUGCAUGGUUAUAAUUUAAGUGAUUACUACCUUUUAUUUCAACCACCAAUCUAAUAAUAUACCAUUGGGCAAAAUUAAAUUAUAUGAAGAUGGAACUUUAGGGGAAGUUAUAGUAAUUUUAAAUUUUAAAAAAUUAACAAAAACUUUAAUAUAAUAAAUUAUUUGAGUAGGCCAAUGCAGUGUUUUUUUAUGUAGAACUCAUAAGUUACAUUAAUGAGGAAAACGGAUCAAAAUAGAGAAGAAAAUUUAUACCCAAAUCAUCAAGUUUUCUCAGUACACCCUUCCUACUUUCCCUCGAUUUUAAUCGAAACAUCGUUACAAUCCAAUAACAAAACAUUAAAUAUUAUAUACUGAACUGAAAUUGGGUUCAAAGGAUAACUUAACAAACAAGAUACAAUAGGAUACAAAAUAAAACAUCAUGAUAAUUUAAGCUGUAACGUAAGGAAAAUACUUGCAACCCUGCUACCCUCCCAACACACUUUCAUUCUCUACAUCCAAUUUCAAUGUUUAAGCAUCUCAUUCUCAACAAAGCUGUGAAAUAAGAGAUAAUUGGAAGAAAACGAGUAUAAAGCAAAUUUACAUACCUUACCUACAAAUAUGUUUGACAUUGUAUCACCUUUGUUACCCAUUGCAGACUACAUCUCCCAACACUUCUUCCAAUUGUAUGUUGUUGAAAGGGCUUGGUAAAGGAAGGGAUUGACGACCAAGGGCUUGAGAAACUUGCUGCAUGGUUGGCCGAAGUUGGGGAUUGCCAUUCAAGCAUGCCACUGCUAUCUUCAUAGUAGAGACCAAGUCUUUGGCAGAUUGCCCUACUGGUGGUGAAAGACGUUGGUCUAUUGUAUCUUUCAGUAAAACCUGUUGGUCAUUUGACAUCAAUGACGAUGUCGACUCCAGUGAUGAAAAAUACGAUAUAAGAUCACGAGGAUGCCUCCCCAUACAAACUUCCAUUGUUAGCACCCCAAAACUGUAGACAUCGCACUUCUCAUCUACUCUCAUUGUAUAAGCCAACUCUGUAUAAAAGAUUUUACUAGUUAGCGUAUGCUAUUUGAACUUUGUUUAUUUAACAACAUACAAGAAAGUAACAGUUUUAAUCAAAAAGAUAGAGAACAUGUUCAAAGCAUUUUUAGGAAAAAGAAUUAGUUAAUACCUGGAGCUAUAUAGCCGUAGGUACCCGCAAGUGAAGUCCAAGUGGAGGAGUCAGGCUUUAAAAUCCUAGCAGUGCCAAAAUCAGAGACACGAGCUUCAUAGUCCAAAUCCAAGAGAACAUUUUUGCUAGAAAUGUCUCGAUGAACUAUAGGCUCUGAAUGACCAUGAUGCAUUUAAGACAAAGCAUUAGCCAAUCCUUUAACAACAUUUACUCUCUUCUUCCAGUCCAGCUCCUUAGCCUGUUCAUUGUUGCUUAACACCAUUCUCAAGCUUCCUCUUUCCACGAGCUCAUAAACCAGAAAAGAAUGCUUUGGAUGUGAACAAAAACCAUACAUCUGCACAAUGUUACGGUGCCUUAUUUCUAAUAAAGCCAUAACCUCGCUUUCAAAGGCUUUCAAGUUUUUGAUGAGUAUGUUGUCUUCAGAUCGGUAAAGUUUCUUCACAGCAACCACCUGACCAGUUGGUAAUGCAGCUUUAUAGACACUUCCAUAUCCUCCUGAACCAAUGCAAUAGUCGGAGCUAAAACCUUCAGUGGCUUCGAUAAUGUUGUCAUGGAGUACUCUUCCAUUAAAUCCCAAUACAGUAAAAAUAUCUCCUUGUUGUUGCUCCCUUGGCUCUGAUUCUUUGGUUUGAGUUUUUUUGCAGAAAGUAAAGAAACUUCCAACCAAUAAAAAUAGCAAAAGUAGACCGCCAAAGAGUGGAAGCAUAACUGAUAUGAUGACUUUGGUACUUUUUCCAUGACCAUGGUUGGCCAGAAAAGAAGGAACACACGGCAUUAGUCCAGUGGCAUUACCACAUAGGCCUUUAUUGUUUCUCAAGGCAUCAAACGAAGCCUCAUGAAAAGCCUUAAGAUUUGGAAUAGGACCUUCAAAUUGAUUGAAAGAUAUGUUCCCAAAUCUCAAACCACGCAAAUUAUUAAAAGCUUCCGGGAUGGAACCAUUAAGCAUAUUGUGAGAAAGGUUCAAGACAUCCAAGGACUGUAAUUUUCCAAACUGUUGUGGGAUACCUCCAAUAAGUGAAUUCUGACUCAAAUCUAGGCUUUGAAGAGCAUUAAUGUAGCUUAUUGAAGAUGGAAUGUUCUCCUCGAGGUUGUUCUUGCUCAAAUUCAAGUUGAAUAAUUUGAAGCAAUUUCCAAGAUCAUCAGGAAUAGGCCCACUUAAAUUGUUUAAUGCCAAGUCAAGUUGUUCUAGUUUUGAAAGAAGUCCAAUCUCCAGGGGAAUUUUGCCAGAAAA
rnacentral:lncRNA from 1 species